rnacentral:sRNA from 1 species
AGGGUGCCGACGGUCUCUGGAGAAAGAUCCGCGAGCGCGCACCCGAAGUCGAUCAGCCGAUCCACGGCGAGAACGCCGGCACCGCC